CCCUUAGAUGUUCUGGGCUGCACGCGCGCUACACUGAUGCGCUCAACGAGUUUAUGACCUUGCCCGGAAGGGUUGGGUAAUCUUCUUAAAACGCAUCGUGAUGGGGAUAGAUUAUUGCAAUUAUUAAUCUUCAACGAGGAAUUCCUAGUAAGCGCGAGUCAUCAGCUCGUGCUGAUUACGUCCCUGCCCUUUGUACACACCGCCCGUCGCUCCUACCGAUUGAAUGCUCAGGUGAGCCAUUCGGACCUUCAUCAUGCCGGUUUCCGGUUUUGAUGAGGGAAAGUCUUGCGAACCUUAUCAUUUAGAGGAAGGAGAAGUCGUAACA
rnacentral:rRNA from 1 species